CACCAAAAAUUUAAGGGACUUUAGUAGUGCAGUUUUCAGAAUUAGUGCGGUAAAACUUGCUCACAAAGUAUCUGAAGCUGUGACCUCAAAUCAAGCAACAGAUAUUCAAGUAUGGAACUCUGGUUUGCUCUUCUGCAGUAAAAUUAACAAGUUAAUAAUAAGCUAAAAACUCUUACAUUUCUUGGCAGGACUUGUUUACUAAAUCAACACUGGAGACGGUAUUCAAGAUUUUACUAGGUGUGGAUCUAGACACUACAACUGAAGAAGGCAUUCUCUUUUCCAAUGCUUUUGAUGAAGCUAGUGCAGUAACUCUCUAUCGCUACGUUGAUGUGUUUUGGAAAGUGAAAAGAUUUCUAAACAUUGGGUCAGAAGCAAAUAUGAAGAAGUGUAUUAAAGUGGUUGAUGAAUUUGUAUAUAAAAUUAUCAGAAACAAGACAGAACAGAUGAGCAAGUCGCGAGAUGACAGCAGGGUGGUAAGUUCAAGCAGAUAACCUUCUAACUUAUUUCCCGUGAGCAAGAGCACCAAAUGAUAUUUGAAUUUUUACAUGUUUGGCAGAUGAAGAAAUCAGAUAUUCUGUCUAGGUUUCUGGAAAUGAACAAAACGGAUCCAAAGUACCUUAAGGACAUAAUCCUUAGCUUUAUAAUUGCUGGCAAAGACACUACAGCUAGCACACUUUCCUGGUUCUUCUAUAUGAUGUGCAAGCACCCUCUCCUACAAGAAAAAAUUGCAGAUGAAGUCAGGAAAGCAACUGGAAUAAACCAGAAUUCGAGUAUUGAUGAGCUAGCUAACAGCAUUACUGAUGACGCACUGGAUAAAAUGCAGUAUCUCCAUGCAUCAUUAACUGAGACGCUCAGAUUAUAUCCUGCAAUUCCUGUGGUAAUACAUACAUAUAUAGUGAGAAUGAUAUAAUAUUCACAAACAUAUAGAUGUCAUUAGGUCAAUGCUUCAUGCAUGCUUAUACAUAGUUUUAUAUGCCUAUUAGGCCAGUGCUUCAUGUAUAUAUGUCUUGAUAUUGAGUUUUUUCUCUAUGCAGGAUAGCAAAGUUUGUUUAUCAGAUGACACUUUCCCUGAUGGGUUCAAAGUGAGGAAAGGGGACGCUGUCGCAUAUCAACCAUGGGCUAUGGGCAGGAUGACAUCUUUAUGGGGUGAUGAUGCAGAGGAUUUUCGGCCAGAGAGAUGGAUUGAUGAAAAUUGUUGCUUUCGGCAAGAAAGUCCCUUUAAGUUCACAGCCUUCCAGGUACCACAGAGCCUUACAAUCUUAUAACUACUACAGUUAAAACUUCUAAGAGCUUAGCUUCACCAGACAGAACUAGUUUUUCCCAUCCAACCUUGACAAAGAAACAAAUUACAAUUGUUAAGUUUUACAGGGUUCAAAUAUUAUGAUUGAUGAAUGGUAUGAUUAUGCGAGAAACUGGUAUAAAGCUUUUAAUCCCCUUCCUAACAUCUGUUUAUUUUUAACGUCACAGCUCAUGUGCACGAGACAUUCACAUGAGAACCUUCUUCAUUCGACACCUCUUCAACCUCGAUCAUCCUAACCUCUCAUUCUCUGCCCAAAACAACAAUUCAUUCCUAGCUACAAAUUAUAGAACCCAAAACAAACUAAAGGGCGAAUGUCUAAGAAAGAAGGAAAACCCGUUGAAUUUGACAGUAGAUCAAACAAAAUUUUGCAGUUUAUGGAGAACCAAUGCGUACUCAUUAAUACAAACUCUGGAGGUCUGGGGUCUAAAGCCAAAGUUUUUGUGUAUUGUUCAUGAUUUUGGCCUGUACUCAAACCAGAUACUUAUAAGACGACUCUCUGUUCAUCAGCAAAUUAAUUCUAUUUACAAAUAAGAUCAAUGUGUUUGGCAUACAUGAAGCUCCUCUCUUCAUGUUUGUGUUUUCUUCAUCAUAAUUAUUCAACAAUCAUAUAGAUGGUGCUAUUGCUAUAAUAAUUUGCAGGGUGGGCCGAGAAUUUGUUUGGGGAAGGAAUUUGCUUACAGACAGAUGAAGAUCUUUUCAGCAGUGUUGCUGGGCACCUUUAGAUUUAAGCUGAGUGAUGAAGAAAGAAGAGUUACAUACAGAACCAUGCUCACUCUUCACAUUGACGGUGGCCUCCAUCUUCAUGCUUCCUACAGAUUACGCCACCACAACCCGCCGGCCCGGAACAAUAUGCCUGCUUAAUACUCCAUAUUAUCUUGUCUGCA
rnacentral:lncRNA from 1 species